rfam:Dipodomys ordii contig_28495, whole genome shotgun sequence.
GGUGACUCAGUGGUAGAGUGCUUGCCUUGCAUGCAUGAGUCUCUGGGUUCAAUUCCAUAGCACCA